UCAAUUGUCUGGGGGAUGGAAUGUGACUACAACUCCCUUUGUAUCGGAAGGGUGUGGGAAGGCCAACAGAUCCCCUGUGAGGGAUGUGGAAAAGAUGGGGGUGACUGUAACCUGAUUGUUUGUCAGAGGAGGGGUGCAUCCAGCCUGUACCUUUGCCUUUCAGGCCUGGCUUAGAAAAGGACUCUGUCAAGCAAGAACACUUUGAUUACAAAGAAAGAAUCCUGUGUGUGGAGCCUUUACUUAGUAAUGUAUGACUCAGUUCCUGCCUUGAGUUCCUGCCCUGACUUUCCCUGUGGUGCACUUUCAACUGCAAGUAAAAUAAAUUCUUUUUCCUAUAGUUGUUUUGGUCAUAGCUUUUAUUACAGCAACAGAAAUCUAAGGUGAUGAUGGUUUAUGUUUCCCCCAGAGUUCAUGGGUUUGAAAAUUAACUGCCAAUGCAGCAGUGUUGGCGAGUGGGUCCUUUAAAAGUCAAUCAGAUACAGGGCUGACAAGAUGGCUAGAGAUGCUCUUCUAGAGGAACUGACUUCAGCUCCCAGCCUGUAUGUGGUGGCUCACAACCACCUGUAAAUCCAGCUCCGGAGCAUUUGACAUUCUCUUCUGCAUUUCUAUGGCAUAUUUUCACACAACUCACAUACAUACAUACAUACAUACAUACAUACAUAUUUUUGUCACAGAAGUACAUAAUGUACUUUGCCAAGUAUUUAUGAACACUGAAUUGCUAUUUAUUGUGUUCAAACAACACAACCAUAGCAAGAAAAAUCCUUCUGCUCUGUAAUGUUUCCAGGACUUUUCUUUGUAGGUAGCAAAGGAGACUGAAAGACAUGAAUAUAUGACAACUAAAGAUAGGAAUGUGAUGUUAGAAUCCACAGUACCUGUAGCAGCCUUCCUAUCUCACAGGCACCUACUAAGACAUAGUCUUGAGUCGCUAGCUAACAGACUUGCAGACAUAGACAUGUUGUCUGUCUCUCAGCCUUUCGCUGAGCCCCCAUGCUGUGGACUAUCUCUGUCUCUCUAUGACUUUAAUAACUCUUCUAAUAAACUUCCUAUCCCUAAUAGUUUGUCUCAGUGUCCCUCUCAAACCUCCAUCAAGAACACUUCAUGAUUGAGUCUGUGACUUGGAUGGGGUUUCACUGAAGUAGACUGGACUUAUUUUUCUUCCUUUGCUAUGGCGUCUCCACACUAUUAUCUGGUAACACUCUCAACUCUUUGGGACACCUGCCAUUUCUGGACCUAGUAAAACUGAAUAUUGAGACAGGUUUAUUUUCCUCCAUUCCAGCUUUGAGGCACUGGUUUGAAUAAGCUGGGUUUUUGGAGGUAGCCAGUAUUACCUUAGUUCACUGGUGUGAUGGUAGUCACAAGUUCUGACUUUUGAUCUCCCUAUUUUUCCUGUAGGAAAACCAAUCGUUUUCUAUCAAAAAUAGCUAUCUGAUGGCUAAAAAUGUUCUUCUAACAAGAGAUGCUCUUCUAGAGGAAUUGAGUUCAGUUCCCAGCCUAAGUGUGAUGGCUUACAACCACCUGUAAUUCCAACUCCACAGGAUUUGACAUUUCUCUGACAUAUAUUCCACAAACUUCUCCUAUCUUACAAAACUUUUAUGCAAAGAAAUUUAAAUCUUUCCAUCUCCUCACCUGGGAAAACUUUUGUUUAUG
rnacentral:lncRNA from 1 species